rnacentral:rRNA from 1 species
CAGUCGCCACGGUAAUACAGAGGGUGCGAGCGUUAAUCGGAUUUACUGGGCGUAAAGCGUGCGUAGGCGGCUUCUUAAGUCGGAUGUGAAAUCCCUGAGCUUAACUUAGGAAUUGCAUUCGAUACUGGGAAGCCAGAGUAUGGGAGAGGAUGGUAGAAUUCCAGGUGUAGCGGUGAAAUGCGUAGAGAUCUGGAGGAAUACCGAUGGCGAAGGCAGCCAUCUGGCCUAAUACUGACGCUGAGGUACGAAAGCAUGGGGAGCAAACAGGAUUAGAUACCCCUGUAGUCCCUGUCUCUUAUAC